rnacentral:rRNA from 1 species
GUGGCGAACUGGGUGAGUAACCGCCGUGAGCAACCUUGCCUCUGAGAGGGGGACAACAGUUAGGAAACGACUGCUAAUACCGCAUAAGCCCACAGUACCGCAUGGUACAGGGGAAAAGGAGCAAUCCACUCAGAGAUGGGCUCGCGUCCGAUUAGGUAGUUGGUGAGGUAACGGCCACCAAGCCGACGAUCGGUAGCCGGACUGAGAGGUUGAACGGCCACAUUGGGACUGAGAUACGGACCAGACUCCUACGGGAGGCAGCAGUGGGGAAUAUUGCACAAUGGGGGAAACCCUGAUGCAGCGACGCCGCGUGGAGGAAGAAGGUUUUCGGAUUGUAAACUCCUGUCGUUGAGGACGAAGAAUGACGGUACUCAACAAGAAAGCCACGGCUAACUACGUGCCAGCAGCCGCGGUAAAACGUAGGUGGCAAGCGUUGUCCGGAAUUACUGGGUGUAAAGGGAGCGCAGGCGGAUUGUCAAGUUGGAUGUGAAACCUACGGGCUCAACCCGUAGCCUGCAUCCAAAACUGGCGAUCUUGAGUAGUGUAGAGGUAGGCGGAAUUCCCGGUGUAGCGGUGGAAUGCGUAGAUAUCGGGAAGAACACCAGUGGCGAAGUCGGCCUACUGGGCACCAACUGACGCUGAGGCUCGAAAGUAUGGGUAGCAAACAGGAUUAGAUACCCUGGUAGUCCAUACCGUAAACGAUGAUUACUAGGUGUUGGAGGAUUGACCCCUUCAGUGCCGCAGUUAACACAAUAAGUAAUCCACCUGGGGAGUACGACCGCAAGGUUGAAACUCAAAGGAAUUGACGGGGGCCCGCACAAGCAGUGGAGUAUGUGGUUUAAUUCGACGCAACGCGAAGAACCUUACCAGGCUUUGACAUCCCCGUGAAUAGCGCAGAGAUGCGUGAAGCCCUUCGGGGCACGGAGACAGGUGGUGCAUGGUUGUCGUCAGCUCGUGUCGUGAGAUGUUGGGUUAAGUCCCGCAACGAGCGCAACCCUUAUGGUCAGUUACUACGAAAGAGGACUCUGGCCAGACUGCCGUUGACAAAACGGAGGAAGGUGGGGAUGACGUCAAAUCAUCAUGCCCCUUAUAGCCUGGGCUACACACGUACUACAAUGGCGUUUAACAAAGAGAAGCGAAAGCGCGAGCUGGAGCAAAACUCAAAAACAACGUCUCAGUUCAGACUGCAGGCUGCAACUCGCCUGCACGAAGGAGGAAUUGCUAGUAAUCGCGGAUCAGCAUGCCGCGGUGAAUACGUUCCCGGGCCUUGUACACACCGCCCGUCACACCAUGAGAGCUGGGGGGACCCGAAGUCGGUAGUUAACCCGCAAGGGAGGCGCCGCCGAAG